ACGGGAGGCAGCAGUGGGGAAUAUUGCACAAUGGGGGAAACCCUGAUGCAGCAACGCCGCGUGAGUGAAGAAGUAUUUCGGUAUGUAAAGCUCUAUCAGCAGGGAAGAUAAUGACGGUACCUGACUAAGAAGCUCCGGCUAAAUACGUGCCAGCAGCCGCGGUAAUACGUAUGGAGCAAGCGUUAUCCGGAUUUACUGGGUGUAAAGGGUGCGCAGGCGGCCUGCUAAGUCUCCGGUGAAAUGUCAGGGCUCAACCUUGGCACUGCCGGAGAUACUGGCGGGCUUGAGAGUGGCGGACGUCGCCGGAAUGUGUGGUGUAGCGGUGAAAUGCUUAGAUAUCACGCAGAAUACCGAUUGCGAAGGCAGGCGACGAUACCAUUUCUGACGCUCAGGCACGAAAGCGUGGGGAUCGAACAGGAUUAGAUACCCUGGUA
rnacentral:rRNA from 1 species